GAUGAACGCUGGCGGCGUGCCUAAUACAUGCAAGUCGAGCGAACGGACGAGAAGCUUGCUUCUCUGAUGUUAGCGGCGGACGGGUGAGUAACACGUGGAUAACCUACCUAUAAGACUGGGAUAACUUCGGGAAACCGUAGCUAAUACCGGAUAAUAUUUUGAACCGCAUGGUUCAAAAGUGAAAGACGGUCUUGCUGUCACUUAUAGAUGGAUCCGCGCUGCAUUAGCUAGUUGGUAAGGUAACGGCUUACCAAGGCAAGGAUGCAUAGCCGACCUGAGAGGGUGAUCGGCCACACUGGAACUGAGACACGGUCCAGACACCUACGGGAGGCAGCAGUAGGGAAUCUUACGCAAUGGGCGAAAGCCUGACGGAGCAACGCCGCGUGAGUGAUGAAGGUCUUCGGAUCGUAAAACUCUGUUAUUAGGGAAGAACAUAUGUGUAAGUAACUGUGCACAUCUUGACGGUACCUAAUCAGAAAGCCACGGCUAACUACGUG
rnacentral:rRNA from 1 species